AACGCACAUUGCGCUCUCUGGUAUUCCGGAGAGCAUGCUUGUUUGAGUAUCAGUAAACUCCCUCAAUCCAAUGUUUGUUGGAUUGGACUUGAGCCUAUCCCAGACCCCGAGGCUUUUUUUUGGCCUUAGGUCCUUUUGGGUAGCUUAAAAUGAAAGGUGCCAAGCUUACCAGUUACUUUAAACAUGGUCGAUCUGGCUAAUGCGUAUUGAUUAGUCCCUGUGGACUAUUACUUCGCUUACGCCGUAGAGACUAUGGAUUGGUUUGGGCUUUGCCUAUUGCAGGAUUUACUCAGAGUAUUCUGUGAUCUCGAUCUCAAAUCAAGUAGGACUACCCGCUGAACUUAA
rnacentral:misc_RNA from 1 species